UGGGAAUGUGGGAGUAAUUAAAUACUAGGUGAUAUUUUUUUAAGAAAAACUGCAGAAGAGGUCACACAAUGCUUCAUCUCUACGUUACAGGGGCUUUGUUAAUGAUCAUGAAGUUUCAGAACACUUAUAGAGAAAAUCAGAAGGAAUACAAACUUAAACAAUUGUAUCGCUAUUGCUAGAUAAAUCAAUGGUCUGAGAUCCUCCUUGAUGUGAUGUGACGGAUCUACAUCCAUGGGUCUAAUAACGUGGCAUGGACUACUCUGGAUAGGGGUAGAACAUCUAGCCUAUCUAACAUGAAACUACAGUGCAGG
rnacentral:lncRNA from 1 species